rnacentral:rRNA from 1 species
GUAGGGAAUAUUGGGCAAUGGAUGCAAGUCUGACCCAGCCAUCCCGCGUGCCGGAAGAAGGCCCUCAGGGUUGUAAACGGCUUUUGACGGUGAAGAAUCGACAGGAGGCGUCCUGUUUUGACGGUAGCCGUGGAAUAAGCACCGGCUAACUCCGUGCCAGCAGCCGCGGUAAUACGGAGGGUGGGAGCGUUGUCCGGAUGUAUGGGGUUUAAAGGGUGCGUAGGCUUGAAGGUCAGUCAGCCUUGAACAGCUGUCGCUUAACGAUAGUCUUGCCGCAGAUACUUCCUUUCUUGGAUGCGGAGGAGGCCACUUGAACGGAUGGUGUAGCGGUGAAAUGCAUAGAUAUCAUCCAGAACACCGAUUGCGAAGGCAGGUGGCUGUACCUUAAUCGACGCUGAUGCACGAAAGCAUGGGGAGCAAACAGGAUUAGAAACCCUAGUAGUCC